GCCCGUAUGGCGAAGUGGUAUCGCGUCUGUCUUGUAAACAGAAGAUCCCAAGUUCGAUCCUUGGUGCGGGCA